rnacentral:rRNA from 1 species
GUGGGGAAUUUUGCGCAAUGGGGGAAACCCUGACGCAGCAACGCCGCGUGGAGGAUGACGCCCCUUGGGGUGUAAACUCCUUUCGAUCGGGAAGAUAAUGACGGUACCGAUAUAAGAAGCCCCGGCUAACUUCGUGCCAGCAGCCGCGGUAAUACGAGGGGGGCAAGCGUUGUUCGGAAUUAUUGGGCGUAAAGGGUGCGUAGGCGGUUUGACAAGUCAUCUGUGAAAUCUAUGGGCUCAACCCAUAGUCUGCAGGCGAAACUGUCGGGCUUGAGUAUGGGAGAGGUGAGUGGAAUUUCCGGUGUAGCGGUGAAAUGCGUAGAUAUCGGAAGGAACACCUGUGGCGAAAGCGGCUCACUGGACCAUAACUGACGCUGAGGCACGAAAGCUAGGGGAGCAAACAGG